ensembl:lncRNA
AUCUCUUUCUGGAGGUUCCUUCUUUGUGGUAUUUUCCCCUCUGAGCCUAGAUCUUUGGAGACAGGUGGGAGGGUGGGAAGGGCAUCUCUUCACAAGUCCCACAGAACUCAGCCUGACACUGGAACAUAACCUCAAUACAAUUCUGAGAUGCAAUCAAUCCACUGAUCUACCAGUCCUGGGCCAUCAGCACGAUGAUUCCCCCUUGCUUUAAAUCUCUUUGUCAUCUAUAGCAAGGAUUUACUAUUUUUCCCUAGUGCUUGCAAACAUUCAUCAUCUGAAGACUAGGUGGCUCAAGAAUAUUGCAGGAAGGAAACUAAUCUUGAAGUGAUGAGGAAAAAAAUUUGGAGGGAAAAAAAAACCACCACAAAGAACAUGAUGCAGCAAUGCAUUUGAGAUUGGGAGGCUAGCCCUUUGGUCAUAGCGCAGUGUGAGGUCAGAACCAUUCCUUACAUUAUCCCUGCUCCAUGACAGGGAGGUAGCACACGAACCGUGAAACUAUUCCCUCCUAGUCUGUCUCGACACAGAAUUAGAUUGGAUUAAACUGGUCUUUGAGAGAAAAAACUGUCAUCAGUGACUUCAUAACAGGAUUCUAAAACAGAAGACAUCAUGAGCAAAAUGUAUAUGUGCUACAUGUAUUGGUAAACAUUGAUGCUUAUGUAGUAGUUAUGUUUUCUUCCUCAAGGACAGACCUCAACCACGAUGCCACUGUCAGAUCUGCCAGUGGUAGCUUUCCACAGACUUUGUAGGAGGCAGACGUUAGGAUGAAAGACAACUGCUACAGUCCUUUAUUAGCACAAAAUGCAUUGUGGGAGCUUGUAUGCACUGCUAAUUCCUCAGUCCUCUGAGCACAGAACCUAUAGAAAAGCCAGUGAGGCAGGCAGCAAACCAACACCUGUGAUGGAAGCCACUUCCAGUUCAGUUAGAACAGCUUGCUGAGGUCGUGUCACUGUGAGGUAAAUAGGUGCAGCUCUUCAUGUCAUGCUAAAAGCCACUGCAGUCUUCCUGCACAGUCUGUCUUUUCAAAGUCACAGCUCAUGACAAACAAUGCCAAUAAGAGCCUGAAGUAGCAGAAGCAGAAUUGAAAAGAACUGUGUUGUUCGGAAUAUUGUUUUUAUACUCAACCUUUCUGCACGUGAAGUCUUCUCUGGUGAUUUCUAAAAUGAAAACUGG